rnacentral:rRNA from 2 species
CACCUCCAGCAUUUCUAGUAUUGGAGGCACUGCCUGCCCGGUGACACUUGUUUAACGGCCGCGGUAUCCUGACCGUGCAAAGGUAGCAUAAUCAUUUGUUCUCUAAAUAGGGACUUGUAUGAAUGGCCACACGAGGGUUUAACUGUCUCUUACUCCCAAUCAGUGAAAUUGACCUUCCCGUGAAGAGGCGGGAAUACCAUAAUAAGACGAGAAGACCCUAUGGAGCUUUAAUUAACUAACCCAAACUUAUGGAUACUAAAUACCUAUAAGGCAUAACAUAACACCAUCAUUAUGGGUUAGCAAUUUAGGUUGGGGUGACCUCGGAAUAUAAAAAAACUCCCGAGUGAUUAAAAUCUAGACCCACAAGUCAAAAUGUAACAUCACUUAUUGAUCCAAUAACUUUUGAUCAACGGAACAAGUUACCCUAGGGAUAACAGCGCAAUCCUAUUCAAGAGUCCAUAUCGACAAUAGGGUUUACGACCUCGAUGUUGGAUCAGGACAUCCUAAUGGUGCAGCAGCUAUUAAGGGUUCGUUUGUUCAACGAUUAAAGUCCU